rnacentral:rRNA from 1 species
AAACGACUCUCGGCAACGGAUAUCUCGGCUCUCGCAUCGAUGAAGAACGUAGCGAAAUGCGAUACUUGGUGUGAAUUGCAGAAUCCCGUGAACCAUCGAGUCUUUGAACGCAAGUUGCGCCCGACGCCUUUUGGCCGAGGGCACGCCUGCCUGGGCGUCACGC